GUGUACUGUUUCAGUGCUCAUAUAUUAAACUUAGAAUACAGAGAAUAUUAGCAUGUCCCCUGGGCAAGGAUGACAUGCAAAUUAGGGAAGCAUUCCAAUUUUUU
ensembl:snRNA U6 U6 spliceosomal RNA